UACACUCCUACGGGAGGCAGCAGUGGGGAAUAUUGGACAAUGGGCGCAAGCCUGAUCCAGCCAUGCCGCGUGAGUGAUGAAGGCCCUAGGGUUGUAAAGCUCUUUCACCGGAGAAGAUAAUGACGGUAUCCGGAGAAGAAGCCCCGGCUAACUUCGUGCCAGCAGCCGCGGUAAUACGAAGGGGGCUAGCGUUGUUCGGAAUUACUGGGCGUAAAGCGCACGUAGGCGGAUCGAUCAGUCAGGGGUGAAAUCCCAGGGCUCAACCCUGGAACUGCCUUUGAUACUGUCGAUCUGGAGUAUGGAAGAGGUGAGUGGAAUUCCGAGUGUAGAGGUGAAAUUCGUAGAUAUUCGGAGGAACACCAGUGGCGAAGGCGGCUCACUGGUCCAUUACUGACGCUGAGGUGCGAAAGCGUGGGGAGCAAACAGGAUUAGAAACCCCAGUAGUCCCAUGAU
rnacentral:rRNA from 1 species